rnacentral:misc_RNA from 1 species
AAUUCUCAACCUCCUUGGUUUCUUCUGGAGACUGAAGGAGGCUUGGACUUUGGAGGCCUUUGCUGGCAUCACUUGCCAGCUCCUCUUAAACGAAUUAGCGGCGUCCUCUUUGCCGACCCUCGACAUGUGAUAAGAUGCUUCCGUGUCUCGGUUUCUGGCUCUGUUGCCUUUGGGACCCGCUUCUAACCGUCUCUUUCUCGAGACACGUUUGAACC